GGAAACUGCGGGGCUGGCAGAGCUCAAUGAAUAAUUUAAUCUGGAUUUCAUUCACAAACGGCAGCGCACUCCUAGGGAAAGGACCGGUGCGCUUCCCCAGAUCGGAACUGGAGCUUCUGCAGAGCUCCAGUGUCAUUUCAACCACUUCCUAAACAUCACUGCUGAAUCCAGUCCUUCCUGUACCUCCAGUAUUUUCACGGAACCUUCCAGGCCCACCCUAAACUUGCUCUUCAUUUGGACUUCUCUAGCUCUGUAACUGUGUCACUUCGUUAGCCCGACUCUGAAGCUCAGGCUGAACUGAACCAGAACCCCGAUCACCCCGUUUUUAGUCUGGAGUUUUCCUUGUCAACAGCAUGCUGUUUUCCUACUCAAUAAACACUUUU